UGUAUAUGGAUAUCUAAUUAAGUUAUUAUUAUUAAUUCUACUCAAUUUAAAUUAUUAUUAUCUAUUAUAUUAAGUUAAUUUUAAAAAAUACAAUUUUAUAUUGAAACCCUAAUUCUAAAAUCACAUUGCAUCCCUCACUCACUCUCCUUACUGCCGACAGCCACUUUCCUCACUCACCCUUACUGCCGACAGCCCUUCCCCUCACUCAUUGUGCCGAUUGACCGACAAUUCUUCCCUUACUCACAUCCUAUUGACCGACAUCCCUCUCCCUUACUCUGACUCACUUGUGCUCUCUCCCCCUUCUCCUCUCCUCCCUGCUCUCUCUCUCUCUCGCUCGGUCUCUCUCGCUCGCUCGCUCACUCCUUCGCUUUCUCUCUUGGAUUUCUAUUGCUUCUCUCUCCUUAACUCUGUAAGUGAAUCCUUGCUUUGUAAAUUUGAAUAUUUACUUUAUCACUUUGAUUCCUUUGAUUUUUUUUUCUAUUUCUUAAAUUUAGAAGUUAUAUUUGAUUUUUUUUUUAUAUAAAUGUGUUGAAAGAGUGUGAUUCCAAGAAUUGUGUGAAAUUAGGAAUUUUGAGAAGCCAAUAUGAAGCUUUGAUGUGAAACUGAAGAAGUCACUGUUUGUCAUCUGCUGCAUUUGAUUACCUUGCUCCCUUGUGUUAGCAUUUAAGGUGCAUUUAAUUUCUCUUCUUUUUUUUUUUUGAAAUUUACUAUAGUGUUAUUUAUGCAGCUUUUUAGCAUGUUAUCCUAGACACAUAUAUAGCUGGUUUUCAGUCAAGAAUUAAACCAUCCAAAAACAAGUUAUGUUGAGGAUUAGCUUAAAGGCAACCAAAUAACUCCCUUGCUGCCCCAUUAGCACUUUAUAAAGACAAUUUGCUAACCAUAACUAUGAACACUGCAUAAAAAUCUGUUAUCAAGUUAAUAUGUCUGUUCAACUUCAACAUGGGAACAAACAAUUCAUUUUCAUGUCUAGUUCUCAUACCCAAUAUAAUGUCAUUGGAAGUGCUUGCUAUUCCAGAAAAAAACAAUGUAUUAGCCACUCUAAUUGGUUUCAUAAGAGCUGUGCUCCAGCUCAAGAAAAUGUACUGCAAUCUAGUCAAAUUCAAUUUCUUUAACAAAUUAGGCAAAUGGUAAACCACAAGUAGGUUCCUACUGAUUUCUUUGACUAUUUACUGAAUAUUUGUAAGCACUAGCAAUUAUUAAGCACUAAGCCCUAAUGAUAUCACUUAACAAGUAUGAUAUGAUGCAUGGCUUGUGAUCUUAUCUUUGCAAAAGGUGACAAUUAGGGUGUGGGUCCAGAUGGACCCACUUAAGAGCAUGCCUUGUUUCAUAGGUUUCCUGUUGUGAUUUCUUUUAGAUUUUUAUAAUCUGUAUGUUUGAUUGCUAUAGUGUUACUUUGGAUAAAUCUUGGCCAACAGUAAUGAUCACUUAUCAAACUAUGGUGAAAGAGAAGGGGGUUGUUUUUGCUAGAGAUUCCUUGUGGUUGCUUGUGGAAGUUUGCUUGGAAAGAAAGUGACUGGGUUAGGUUAUUGAAGAGAGAAGUGGAAAAAAAUGAAAGUGAAAGCCCCACAUAACUGUCCAUAGACCGAUAUCUUUCUCGCACUUUUACAUUAAUCAAAGUUCUUUUUUUUUUAAAUUCUCUUUAUUUUUUAUAGUUAUAAUAAAUUUAAAAAAAACCGUCCUAACUAAUUUUUUAAAAAAUAAGGAUGAUAUAAGUUAAUAUAGUUAGUUGUGUGGAUGUUAUUUUAUUUGCUAUUUGUACAAAAGCAUUGAGUUUAGUUGAUUAACAGUCACAAAGAAGCUUUCCCGAAAGCAAUUUUAACAUAAAAGGAAAUGUUUCAUAUGCAUUUUGGGUGAAUUGACUGCACCAUUCCAUGUGUUUGUCUUGUAAAAGAGGCAACAUUUUGCUUGCACCUGUCCCUAUACAGUCCACUCAUAUGCAAAUACAGCAUACAUAUACGUUGCUUACAAGUAAGUGCUAUCACAAAGACACUUGGAACAUCACUAAAGCUACCUUGACAAAUCUGAGGUAUGAUUUCUGUUAAUGUUAGUGUUUUAUGUGAUUUUAAUAUUGAUAUUUUACUUGGAACAUCAUUAAGUGCUAUCACAAAGACAUUUACAAGUAAGUACAGCCACAUUUUGAUUUAUAAUUUUCCUGCAUCACUUCUGAUAAAAAAAUUAGCCACGUACUGAUAUCAUGAAUGUUGCAUCAUCACUUUGAUUGCUAGGAACUGCUCAGGUUCUCUCGGUGCAGUUUGAUUUAGAUAACAUUAUAGAUAUCUCUUUUAUUAAUAUUUGCUUGCUCGCUGGGUUUCACUUUCACUGUAUAUCUGUUUAAUUGAGAAAAUUUCCAUGUCCUUUCAAAUAUUCUCUGAUUUGAAAGCUCAAAUUUUAGCUGCACAGGUAAAUGUUCUUUUGCCUGCACUUCUUGUUGUAAAUUUAACACCUUUAAACUGAACAGUGGAGUCCGAUAAUGCUUGUAUGUUGUGUCUCAUUAUGUGAUACUGCAACAACAAAAACAACUACUAGGGAGAUGUGUAGGUAACAAUUCUGAAAGGUUUAUUACUUUUCUUUUAAUUUUGAAUUUGCUCAAGUUCUAUGCUAGACAGUUGAAGUAUUGUUGGGUUGGAUGUAAAACAACAUUGAAGCAUUGGGGCCAAAAGAACUAUUAGGGGUUAUGUAUUUAGUAGUGAAAUAGAUGGAUUUACUUCCCAUGAAUGGGUGAACUUGGAAUACUAACAGUUGGGGUUUUUCUACGUGUCUUUGGCUGUUUGCCAAUUUUAUUCACUCGAAGCUUGGAUGCAAAGAACAGGGACAGGUUUACUCAGAAUCUGACUGUUUUCAGGCAUGAAUUCCGUGUGAAAUAGCUCGGAUGUUGCAUAUUGCUACCUGUUUAGGGACUGCAUUUUACCUCCAGAUACUGUGUUAGAAGAAGCCCAAGUACCUUACAUUAAUUUGACCAGUAAGCUUGGACCAUGUUUGCUGUUGGAGAGGAGCUUCUUUUUGAUGCAGUAUCUAUAUUUGUUGCCAAAUCAUUAAGAAGCACAAGGUAAAAGGUUUGCAAUGAAGUUGUUUACGACUUUUUCUUUUUGUACAGUUUUCCAUUUUUCUUUUCUCAGGUUCCUUUUUGAAAGGAUACUAGAAGUGUAAUACACAAUGAUGAGGGGAUUACCAAAGACUUGCAGAAGCUAGUGGUGGGUUUGAUAGUAGUCUAUGUUUAGGGUAUUUAUUCUUUCUAAAACAAAGAUGUAAAUCAUUCAUGGGGAUUAUGUUUUAAAGGUGGAGACGAGUAGAUUUAUUUGUACAUUAACCUCAAAUAAUUCUUUUGUAUUUGUUGAUAAUAGAAAGAAAAGGAAUGAUAUUUUAGUGUGCAA